GUACCCAGAAACUAUAAGGUGGGCAGAUACAGGUGUGUCUCUGAAAAUAUUUAUAAAUGGUCUGUAUUUAAGCUCCAUUUCACUUCAAGGUAUACACACAGAAGUUGUGAUUUGAGAUUCUGAAUGUUUUGAUAAUGGUUGCAAGGGAAUUUACAUUUGUGGUGUGUAUUUGGACGGUCUGUGCUGCCGGGCAUGAAUUCUUCUCAUCAACAGAUCAAAUUGCACAGCUUGUUGAGAAGAAGAAAGACCUUCUGACGAGCUUUAGUCAAUACAUAGAUGCUGAAGAAAAGAAUAUAGCGAAAAUGAAGAGUGUUUAUCUGAAUCUUCUGCUUUCAUACUCUGACCCUGUGACCAUGAGAAAAUCAUGAGAGACCCUGUGGCAGCUUACAAACACCUCAGACAAUUGAGAGAUGAAUUAAUAAAUAUUGUAAACCACAUUCGACCGAGUUUUUAUCAGUGUAAUGAGUAUCAGGAUGAAUUGGACUUCCUAGAGAUCCCACAGCCAGAGGACAUAGAUGGUGCAGCGUUAGGACUGAUCAGACUGCAAGAGAUCUACAAACUCUACCCAGAAGACAUCAUGAAGGGUGAAUAGUCCACAGUAUUGCACCAGU
rnacentral:lncRNA from 1 species